GGUCUAAUAGUGUAGAGGUUAUCACAUGGGAUUUUGACGUGGGAUAUUUCCCAUAACCCAGGUUCGAGUCCUGGUUAGACCU